CCAGCCGGACGAGAACGAAUCCGUAUGCUCCAGCACCUUGUUCUGAUCCGACAAGGCCAUCGUCAUCAAGUAAAAUGGAAGUGCGAGCAAAGCAAGAAAGUUAGCAGAGAUGAUCCGCAGCCUUGGGAUCCCGGUGAACUGCGGCUGCAUGCUCGACUACGAGGACAACUAGAACUGGCAGCUCCAGAACAACCAAUGCCUGUCAGGCCUGCAUAGCAACGGGUGAUGGAUUUUCUUAAGAUGCUGCUGAAGAGGGAUAUACUCCAUUAACUAAUGCGGAUCUCUUGAAGGAAGUCCUUGCUUGCUUGUGUAGUGCAUUACUUCCUUGAUUGCUUGGUGUGCUUUUAUGAGUAGGAAUUGGCUUGCAUAAAUAUCUUUAUCAUUCAACUUAAAUACAGUUCAAACUGCAGUUUAAAUUCAUGCAUCUUUUAUAAUCUUAAUGAUGUCAUACAAUGGAGCCAGUGGAAGAAGUAGAUAAAUGGAGAUGACAUGUAUCAUUUCCAGGUACAUCUAUGACUUGAUUAAAAACUGCAUACUUUCUUUUCCUUCCAAACAAGCUCGUUGGGAGCAUAUUUGAUUGUAUAUGUAAUAGGGGUAUGGUUUUUCUUUCACCAUUCUACUAUGACAAGCCUUGAGAUAAUUUUUUAAAGUUUUGUGGUUUUAACAGAUCAUUGUGUACAUACAGUUCAGUAAUUAUGGUUGCUUGUGAGAAAUGCAAGGAGUUGUUGCUUGUGAGAAAUGCAAUUUUCAACUUGCAACUGAUAUGAAGUUUAAAUACAGUUCAAAUUGCUACUGCCAAUACUCCUACUGCUACUAUCAAUACUCCUACUGCUACUGGCAGUAUUUCCUAUUGUUACUGACGUUAUUUUAACACAUUGUUAUAGUCCAGGACGGUGGUGUCUUGGCGAUUCAGCACACCGCAGGCAACGAGCAGCUUGAGGUGUGCAUGACCUUGUCCAGGAGCUGUGCGUGAAUGUUCAAUAUGAGCCAGCCAAGGAGCACCAGUUAUCACACAUAGUGGCGUACAUAUGAAAGAUGCAUACUGCUCCACUAUACUUGAGCAUCUUCGCAAGGUGGAGGAUUGCAAUUGAGGUCAAAGAAUUGCUGAGCCAUGCGCUGGUUGGACAUCGCCCACUGCUGCUUGCCAAAGAUCAUGCACUGAAGAUUGCCGGAGAUCACGGCCAGGUUACUUGCCGGAGAUCACGGCCAUGACCAGGUGCUUGCCGGAGAUCACGCCCUUGAGAUUGCCGAGAUCAUGGCCUGGUGCUUGCCGGAGAUCACGGCUUCUGGGGCUGGAGGUGGCGUACAUGGGAAGGUCAGCGGACAGAGAAGUAGAUUGGGCCGGUGGUGGAGACGAUGGGGAGGGUGGAGGGAAUAUGAGGAGCUGCGGUCUGUGGUGGAGUUGAUGGGGAGCGGGGAAGGCAAAUCGAAGCUGCGGCCGGUCGUGGAGUCGAUGGGGAGGGAUGAUGGCGGAGGAGCAGCUAAGGACCGGUGGUGGAGUCGAUGAAGGGGAAUCCAUGGCGAUGGCGGUCGGCGGAGGACCAAGGACGAGUGAUUACGGAAGGGUACCGAUUCAUAAUUAGGGAAGGGUAGAGUCGUCAUUUCACAUGGUUUUCACCUGGUCGAAACGGUUCCCAAACGUCUUAUAUUCCGGAACGGAGGGAG